GACGAACCGUGCGACCGUUAUUCGGAAUCACUGGGCUUAAAGCGCGUGUAGGCGGGACGGCACGUCGGUCGCUGAAAUCCCCCGGCUUAACCGGGGAACGGGCGUCGAUACGACCGUCCUGGAGGGGCGUAGGGGGACCUGGAACUUCCGGUGGAGCGGUGAAAUGCGUUGAGAUCGGAAGGAACGCCCGUGGCGAAAGCGAGGUCCUGGACGCCUACUGACGCUGAGACGCGAAAGCCAGGGGAGCGAACGGG
rnacentral:rRNA from 1 species